rnacentral:tRNA from 1 species
GCCCCUGUAGAGUAAUGGAUAUCACGUUGGACUUCUAAUCCAAAGAUCGUAGGUUCGAAUCCCACCUGGGAUGGCA